AGGCGGAUCUCUGGGCCGAUACUGACGCUGAGGAGCGAAAGCGUGGGGAGCGAACAGGAUUAGAUACCCUGGUAGUCCACGCCGUAAACGGUGGGCACUAGGUGUGGGCGACAUUCCACGUCGUCCGUGCCGCAGCUAACGCAUUAAGUGCCCCGCCUGGGGAGUACGGCCGCAAGGCUAAAACUCAAAGGAAUUGACGGGGGCCCGCACAAGCGGCGGAGCAUGUGGCUUAAUUCGACGCAACGCGAAGAACCU
rnacentral:rRNA from 1 species